UGUCUCUUUCAGAAAGACUGAGUUGCAGGCUGACAGGAAGUUGUAUGUAGAAAGAAGCAGGAAGUUAUUUUGAGCCGCAGGCUAAGACGAGGCUUUAACAAUGUAACAGAUAGCUUUAAGAAGGCCUUAAGCAGUUAUGACUAUUUUAUACACAAUGCAUAUCUGUGCUUAUUAAAGAGUUGGAGCUCGGUCAAUUAAUUGGGGGUCGGAAGCUUUGUUCGGCGCGAUGUUCGGACAAUCUAUUGUGCAAGUGACUUGGAGCCAUAGAAGGAAUCGCAAUACAUGCUUACAAAACACUUAUAUCAGGUCAUUUUAUAUUAAGGUUUUAGUAGAGGUUCUUGGUUAAAACAUUUAUUUAGUAGAAGACAUACACAUAGUCUCAGUGAGCUUCUGGUCUGGUAAAAGGUCAGAAGUGCAACAGGUGAAUUGAGAAAGAGCAUUUGAGGACGAGACACAGACAGUAGGUGAAGAGGUGACACAAAGAGCAUGUGAGGUCAACACAUACACACACAUAGAGUUAAAUUUAUUUAGAGGAGAGAUUACUCAUGUCUGGUUGUAACUGCAAAAGUGUCUCGGUAAAAGAGGAACCGUUCCUUGUUGUCUCGGCAAGAAAGAGGAACAAGACAAGAACUGAAAGGUAGACAGGAAGGGCUAGCCAUGAAAAUAGAAGAUGAUUUUCUAGGUGAAAAUCAUGAUGAUGUUGAUCUGAUCUAUGUAUAAAAUGUACCGGUGACGCAUGAAGGGGCGUCAGUAAACAAACCCUGAUGCUAUAAAAUAUCUGUUCAUGCUUUGAUUAAGUCGAAGACUACUUCCUGUCUGCGUACAGAGUUGUCUUCCCACGCGUGUAUUCAUUAAAAUCAUCGUUUGACUUCACCCGGCCGGAUUGGUGUGAUUAUUCUUCGAUCACCUCUUGUACCCUUCCUCAAUAAUGAAUCUUAACAGUAGGAUCCGUAGAACCACGUUGGAGAAUUUUUAUUUAACUAAAAACUCCCCAACUUACAUAGAUGCUAUAGGGGUUCAUAAUGAGUGUAAACUGGCCAACCAGGUCAUGGGAGGGUUUGAGUCCAUCUUCUUAUGGAUUACCCCAAACAAGAAUGUAGACAAGAUAAAUGUGUGUGUGAAUGGGUGGAUGAUUGUGUAUAGUGUGAAGCGCUUUGGGGUCCUUAGGACCAAGUAAAGCGCUAUACAAAUACAGACCAUUUACCAUUUACAAUAAAUUAUGUUCAUUAUAAUGUUCAGCAACUGGCCAAUUUGAUACACGAUGCAGUCAUGGGCCUAUAACCCUAACCCCUUGGAGGACUGGUUUAAAGCCAUGGUAGUGUCUUUGCUAAUGUCCAUAGCCACAUUUGCUGCUAUACUUAGAAGCUGUGGCUGUUGUUUCAUUCUGUGCCGCCGCAUCCUACUGAAUAGAUUAAUCACAACCGCAUUGACAAGAGAAAAUGAACCGCCUAAAAUUUCACUUGUAACACAGCCCUCGUUACAGGCAGAAAAUAUGGAUAGUGAUGAUGAGAGUGAGGAUGAAAUUUAAAGUACGAAAUUGUUUUGUUUUAUUUCUUUUCCUUCUUUUUCUGACAUUGUAGAAUGAUGCACACUGUAUAAAAGAGUUCAGGGUGGUGUCCC
ensembl:lncRNA